UGCCAGCAGGAUCCAGCCUGCAGGCACACUGCCAGGACCUUCAAGCACACAGCAGCCACUGUUUUAAGUGGAGGACUGCUCCCUGUGCCUCUCUGCUCUGGAGGGAGGGGAAGGCUUUCUGUGAUCUCAUCAUCCCCAAGCCUAAUCCUCAGCUCGUAUUGGCUGGAAACAACUGGCCAAUAGGAACUGACCCCAGCCAGUCUCUCAGCUCCUACUGGCUGAAAGUUGAAAGACUGUGCUGUGGGAUGGAGGCAGCACAAGCCUCUUCCCCUCCCGGAGCUUUUUUUGAGAGCCACAAGGAAGGAACAGCCUGCAGUUUUAAGCGGUCUGGGGCUGGCCAACUGUGACACUGAGGGUUGCACGGCAAGAACAGCUGAAACCUUUAGCUCACGUAUGAACAGCAGAUAACUGAAACCUAAGGAGAUGAAAGGAGCUCCGUCCGUGACCAGAGGCAGAUU